ensembl:ncRNA lncRNA:CR45635 long non-coding RNA:CR45635
GCACUCAACAAUUUUCUCUCGAACUAACAAGUGUUUUACCGUACUUGGUAAGAUGUCCGAAAAGUAUUCAACUACAAUCCAAAGAAUACGAAUAUUCAGCAGACACUUAAUUGUCAAAAAAAAAAAAAAGAAAAGCCAGUUCGAACAGCAGGAGAACUGAGACAACUGAGUUAGCGUACACACUCGAUGCUGUGAUUUGUUUGCCACCCCGCUGCGGCAAGUAAAACACUUAAAGUCCUGGCCAAGUCUCGAAUCAGAUACAAAAUCCUCGGGAGCUUCUGCCUCUUACACACUUAUCGAGCUUCGGGCUGGCUGUUGCUGAUUUCUUGUUUAUUUAUUCAGCUCCAACCCAAUCAGCCCACCCACACACAUCCCGAUCCUGAUGCAAACAAACCCACACGAAUGUAAACACAAGGCCACUAAAUCACUGAACACUCUCAGCUUUGGCAUUUACACCACCUCCCCCAUUCCACCCAGAAGUCCAUCCACAGGACGACGGUUCCUGCUCCUGCUCCUUCUCCAUCUCCUUUUGAUCCGGCGACUUCUUUUGUUGCUGCGCUUGACCCGCGGCUCCGGGACCUCUUCUUUUUGGGGUUUGUUU